AUUGAACGCUGGCGGAAUGCUUUACACAUGCAAGUCGAACGGCAGCACGGGGGCAACCCUGGUGGCGAGUGGCGAACGGGUGAGUAAUACAUCGGAACGUGCCCAGUCGUGGGGGAUAACGUAGCGAAAGCUACGCUAAUACCGCAUACGAUCUCUGGAUGAAAGCGGGGGGACCGCAAGGCCUCGCGCGAUUGGAGCGGCCGAUGGCAGAUUAGGUAGUUGGUGGGGUAAAGGCUCACCAAGCCGACGAUCUGUAGCUGGUCUGAGAGGACGACCAGCCACACUGGGACUGAGACACGGCCCAGACUCCUACGGGAGGCAGCAGUGGGGAAUUUUGGACAAUGGGCGAAAGCCUGAUCCAGCCAUUCCGCGUGCAGGAUGAAGGCCCUCGGGUUGUAAACUGCUUUUGUACGGAACGAAACGGUCCUGGUUAAUACCUGGGGCUAAUGACGGUACCGUAAGAAUAAGCACCGGCUAACUACGUGCCAGCAGCCGCGGUAA
rnacentral:rRNA from 1 species